rnacentral:rRNA from 1 species
UACGUAGGAGCCAAGCGUUAUCCGAAUUUACUGGGCGUAAAGCGCGUGUAGGCGGGUGGGUAAGUUGGAUGUGAAAUCUCCUGGCUCAACUGGGAGAGGGCGUUCAAGACUGCUCAUCUAGAGGACGGAAGAGGAAGGUGGAAUUCCGGGUGUAGUGGUGAAAUGCGUAGAUAUCGGGAGGAACACCAGUGGCGAAGGCGGCCUUCUGGACCGUUCCUGACGCUGAGACGCGAAAGCCAGGGGAGCAAAC